CUCGCGCGUCCUUGACAUUUCACUAAUCCUUGCAUGCCCACGCACCAGCCCCAUCAUUUUCAAAGCAUGCCUUGCACUAAUUCCACCCUCAUCCACCCCCUAAACCCAGAUUAACGUAGAUGGCUCAUUCCUUUUCACAUAAAUUUUAGAUUUAUUUGUGAUUAAAUUACUGGGUGACCAUCAAAUCUUCCUUCCUUGCCUUCUCUCUCUUCCUGACCAACAUCCUCAAUCCCUUACAAAAUUUCAAGGGGUGCCUUGGCCUGUUUGUCCCACUCGGCUCGUCGUCCACCUUUUUCUCCUUCGCUCGUCUCCUGUUUGAAUCACUUUUAAUUAUUAUUUUUUUAAUAGGUGACGUUCCUCUGGCCCUUCUUUGGUCUUUCAGCAAGCCAUGCAAGCCCACCGAGCAGCAACAUCAUUUGCAAAGCGUGCCUCACUUUCAAUCCACCCUCAACAACCCACGCACAUCGAGUAAAGCAGCCGGCUUAAUAUUUUUGUAAGUAAAUUUUAUAUUUAUUUUCUAUUUAAUUUCUAAGUGACCUUCAACUCUCCCAUCUUUGCCUUCUCUCUCUUCCUGACCAACAUCCUCAAUCCCUUACAAAAUUUCAAGGGGUGCCUUGGCCUUUUUGACCCUCAAGGCGCUACGUCCGUUAUUUACGCUUUAGCAUGAACUAUGCUGAAAUCACUUUUAAUUUUUUUUUUUAAUACGUUACGUUCCUCUCGCGCUUCCUUGACAUUUCACCAAUCCUUGCAUGCCCACGCACCAGCCCCAUCAUUUUCAAAGCAUGCCUUGCACUAAUUCCACCUUCAUCCACCCCCUAAACCCAGAUUAACGUAGAUGUCUCAUUCCUUUUCACAUUAAUUUUAGAUUUAUUUGUGAUUAAAUUACUGGGUGACCUUCAAAUCUUCCUUCCUUGCCUUCUCUCUCUUCCUGACCAACAUCCUCAAUCCCUUACAAAAUUUCAAGGGGUGCCUUGGCCUGUUUGUCCCACUCGGCUCGUCGUCCACCUUUUUCUCCUUCGCUCGUCUCCUGUUUGAAUCACUUUUAAUUAAUAUUUCUUUAAUGGGUGACGUUCCUCUGGCCCUUCUUUGGUCUUUCAGCAAGCCAUGCAAGCCCACCGAGCAGCAGCAUCAUUUGCAAAGCGUGCCUCACUUUCAAUCCACCCUCAACAACCCACGCACAUCGAGUAAAGCAGCCGGCUUAAUAUUUUUGUGACGUCCCUCUUGCCCUUCUUUGGUCUUUCAGCAAGCCAUGCAAGCCCACCGAGCAGCAACAUCAUUUGCAAAGCGUGCCUCACUUUCAAUCCACCCUCAACAACCCACGCACAUCGAGUAAAGCAGCCGGCUUAGUAUUUUUGUGACGUUCCUCUGGCCCUUCUUUGGUCUUUAAGCAAGCCAUGCAAGCCCACCGAGCAGCAACAUCAUGUGCAUAGCGUGCCUCACUUUCAAUCCACCCUCAACAACCCACGCACAUCGAGUAAAGCAGCCGGCUUAAUAUUUUUUAAGUGACGUUCCUCUGGCCCUUCUUUGGUCUUUAAGCAAGCCAUGCAAGCCCACCGAGCAGCAACAUCAUGUGCAUAGCGUGCCUCACUUUCAAUCCACCCUCAACAACCCACGCACAUCGAGUAAAGCAGCCGGCUUAAUAUUUUUUAAGUGACGUCCCUCUGGCCCUUCUUUGGUCUUUCAGCAAGCCAUGCAAGCCCACCGAGCAGCAACAUCAUUUGCAAAGCGUGCCUCACUUUCAAUCCACCCUCAACAACCCACGCACAUCGAGUAAAGCAGCCGGCUUAAUAUUUUUGUGACGUCCCUCUGGCCCUUCUUUGGUCUUUCAGCAAGCCAUGCAAGCCCACCGAGCAGCAACAUCAUUUGCAAAGCGUGCCUCACUUUCAAUCCACCCUCAACAACCCACGCACAUCGAGUAAAGCAGCCGGCUUAAUAUUUU